UACGGGGGGAGCAAGCGUUGUUCGGAUUUACUGGGCGUAAAGGGCGCGUAGGCGGCCAGCGCAAGUCAGUUGUGAAAUCUCCGGGCCUAACUCGGAAAGGUCAACUGAUACUGCGCGGCUAGAGUGCAGAAGGGGCAACUGGAAUUCUCGGUGUAGCGGUGAAAUGCGUAGAUAUCGAGAGGAACACCUGCGGCGAAGGCGGGUUGCUGGGCUGACACUGACGCUGAUGCGCGAAAGCUAGGGGAGCGAAUGGG
rnacentral:rRNA from 1 species